rnacentral:misc_RNA from 1 species
GGGCCUCAUUAUAACAUGGAAUGCAAAAGUAGUGUCGUGUAUCACCGGCUCCAAUGGUAUAAUACAUCGCAUUACGUUUAAUACGAGCACCACAUGGAGUACAAUAUAUGGGUGGGGGUUCAAAAUUUAGCUUCUCAACUGCACAUAACUGACAAGAAUUUUCACUCAUAGAAUGCUCCAUUGCUUGAUUUUUUUCUGCUUUUGCUUUGCUCUGGCCUAUCCAUUGUCUCAGACCUUUAAUGUGUUCCCGGACCUGCUCUGGGGUAAAAAGUUCCAUCAUCGACACCCCUUUUAUUUUAGGCUUUCCAGAUUUGGAUCCGCUUGUACUUUCAGAGGGCACUGACGUAUUUUCC